GUAUAAGGGACAGGUGAGUCAUCGAAUCUUUGAACGCACAUUGCGCCCCUUGGUAUUCCAUGGGGCAUGCCUGUUCGAGCGUCAUUUGUACCUUCAAGCUAUGCUUGGUGUUGGGUGUUUGUCCUCUCCCCUGCGUUUGGACUCGCCUUAAAGUCAUUGGCAGCCUGUAUUUUGGUUUUGAGCGCAGCACAUUUUGCGUCUUGCAUCUAGUAAUACUAGCAUCCAUCAAGCCCAUUAUCACUUUUGACCUCGGAUCAGGUAGGGAUACCCGCUGAACUUAAGCAUAUCAAUAAGCGGAGG
rnacentral:misc_RNA from 1 species